AACGGGGCCCAGAUCAGGGGCCCACUUGCUUUUGCCACGAAUACACUAUCUGCUCGAUCCUCAGCAGGUGCUCUUCCAGUCUCUGUCUGAGCCCCUUGAAGGGCAGAGUGAUCUCCACUCUCAAGGGGCUUAAGUCAUCAGGAAGAAUCACGAUCUCAAAAAAGCUGCAAGAGCCAGGAAGUAACAUAAAUGAGUGAAGGAGCCCGAGGUAGGUCCAAAGAAAGUUGUGGGGAAUGUGGUGAGCUGGAAAGAACAAGUUCUUUCCAAAGGAAACAGCCUCCAGCUGGGGCUGGGGGUGGGGGGGGAGUUGGGGCUCAGUGUUGCUGAAUCUUUCACAUUUUCAACAACAACAACAAGAAGAAGCCAUCGAUCCAAGAUCUUGUUCAAUUCCUUGAUCCUAAAUGUCGGCAACGAAUUCACAUUUUGUCUUAAACACUGUGGGGGUCCAACAAGCCACAUCUGCUAGUGGUUUUUAACUUACAGGCUACUGGUUUGCAACCUCUGAAUAGAAGCCUUCCUCAUUAGAUUGUAUUGAAGUCCGCUUCCUUGGGAAUCCACGCACCUGGAGUAACCAAGAGUUACCCUCUUCCACAUGCCCUAUUUUGAAGCUAAACCUCAUUCCCCCAAAUAUCUCCUCUUUGUGCAACUACCUUCUGUGUCCCACACUGCCACAGCCACCCACCUCUGGAAGCCCCGCCCUCAUCUCUUUCGGUAAGUGGGCAACACAAUUAGCCAAAGGCUUCAGCAACGAUUGCUUUUCCUUGCUAAUAAUCAUUUUUCUUAGGUUUGCAUGCCUGGCUUCAGAAAAGGAAAUGAUGACUCAAUCCCUGAACUUCUUGUACAAGGCGGGUGAUUUCAGUAAGUGGAUGGAAGGCUGACACUGUUAACAGCAUUCCCGAUUAGUCGGAGAGUAUAAAAUGAGGUGUGUAUUUGAUCUACUGUCGGAGUAGCAGAUGGAACACAGCAACCAUGACAUGGUCGAGGAGAUGCGGACUUCUGCGUUCCAUCUGGCUUCUCCCUCUGGCUUCUCCCCCUGUGGAUAUGCUGGAAUCAUUAGAUCCUGCACGUGCAAAGACAGGACGAAGAAAAGUGGCCUGCCUUUAAAGCAUCUGUAAGGACGCCGCUGAGGAGUAGAAAGGAGCAAACCAUCCGGCCACACAUAUAAAGAAGAUAGGAUUCAGAAGGUGACAACGAUCAGAGCCCCGACCUGUUCAUACAAUACUUUUGCGCAAGUCACGGAAGGCACCCCAGCGUCUCUGCAGAUGAGGCCCCACUGAGGCUAGAGCCCCGCCUCCAUUCCCUCGUGGGUGCGAGACCCUCCUGCUGGUUAUAGCCUGUCCUCGCUAUAUGAAGUCCCUCCCCAUGGCUGGAUAAUUCAGAUGCCUCCCAGCAUGACAAAAUUUCCACUUCAAUCUCUUGUCGACGUUUUAAAUUAGGUAUUAUCCUCGUGCUUAAAUCUUUUUCCAUUUUUGUCUGUUCCCAUCAGCGGCGUGCUUAGACACCUCUGCUCUCAACUUGGGAAUCAAUAUUUAUUCUAGCUGGCUUGUCUUCAUCCUCACAUCCAGGUUGACAUCGAAUCUUUCCAAUUCUCUUUUGAAAAAUAACUUAGGUAUAUUUUUUUCCCCUCCAACUACAACCCUCGGUUAGCCUGUGGAUUUCAUUCCUAGACUCCCAUAACAGAUUCCCAGUCUGUUUUAUAUUUUAGCCUCUUACACUUCCAGACCUUCCAACACAGCAACAAGAAUCAUAUUUCUUGGCCACCACUUUCAAUCAUGUUAAUCCCUUUCUCAGAAUACUGCAUCUGCUAAAAAUAAAAUAAAAAAAUAAAAAAAUUCCCAGGCUUUUAUAACGCUUGACUAGUUUUAAUCCCACAAAAAUGCCCCCAGUCAUAUAACACUUUGUAGGUUCGGUUGUCCAGCUGCAGACCUGAGACCAAGCUCAGUGUUCAGUAUACAGGGUGUUCCCUUGGGAUCAACACCUGUGGAAGGGAGGAGGAGAGCAGGGUUGAGGAAAAGGAGAUAACAGGUUGUGAUCCAGACCUGGAGACUUGGCGGGCUCAGCCAACCCCACAGGGAAUUCCAGAACUCGUCAGACUUAUCCCACUCAGGGCUAAAAUGGAGAGGCCUUUAUG